rnacentral:rRNA from 1 species
GAUGAACGCUGGCGGCGUGCCUAAUACAUGCAAGUCGAGCGAACAGAUGAGGAGCUUGCUCCUCUGACGUUAGCGGCGGACGGGUGAGUAACACGUGGAUAACCUACCUAUAAGACUGGGAUAACUUCGGGAAACCGGAGCUAAUACCGGAUAAUAUAUUGAACCGCAUGGUUCAAUAGUGAAAGACGGUUUUGCUGUCACUUAUAGAUGGAUCCGCGCCGCAUUAGCUAGUUGGUAAGGUAACGGCUUACCAAGGCAACGAUGCGUAGCCGACCUGAGAGGGUGAUCGGCCACACUGGAACUGAGACACGGUCCAGACUCCUACGGGAGGCAGCAAUAGGGAAUCUUCCGCAAUGGGCGAAAGCCUGACGGAGCAACGCCGCGUGAGUGAUGAAGGUCUUCGGAUCGUAAAACUCUGUUAUUUGGGAAGAACAAAUGUGUAAGUAACUAUGCACGUCUUGACGGUACCUAAUCAGAAAGCCACGGCUAACUACGUG